rnacentral:ribozyme from 1 species
AGAGAGAAAGAGAGAGAGAGAGAGAGAAAGAAAGAAAGAGAAGAAGACGACAGAUUGCUGAGGAGAGAUUGCAUGAGUUUUUCCUUCCUUUCUUGCUUCCCUCUACCCCUCUCCUUGUAUGUGUU